rnacentral:rRNA from 1 species
GACGAACUUGUGACGAUCGUUGUCGGAAUUCACUGGGCUUAAAGGGCGCGUAGGCGGAAGGUCAAGUCCGAGGUGAAAUCUUUCGGCUCAACCGGAAAAGUGCCUUGGAUACGGAUCUUCUCGAGGGAGGUAGGGGCCAUGUGGAACUUCCGGUGGAGCGGUGAAAUGCGUAGAUAUCGGAAGGAACGCCGGUGGCGAAAGCGGUUCUCUGGGCCUUACCUGGACGCUGAGGAGCGAAAGCGUGGGGAGCGAACAGG